AAAGGUAUAGGCUACCAUCUCUGGGCACAAAUAAUUCUCCAAGCCUAAAUUCUGGAAACUCUGAACAAGAUGAAUUUGAACAAACUCAACUCACUCAUGGGUCACAUAUUCAAGAGCCUUACCUUCUACCCUGCAAUGCCCUACCUAUCAAAAAUGGAAACCUUGAACUUUAUCCCUUGGACUUCACCAGAACUAACCCUACAAUGAAC
rnacentral:lncRNA from 1 species